rnacentral:rRNA from 1 species
GACCUUGCGGGAAGAGCGCAUUUAUUAGACCAAGACCAAUGAGGCUGCCUCUGAUCUGGUGACUCUGAAUAACUUUGCUGAUCACAUGGUCCUAGCACCGGUGACAUAUCUUUCAAGUGUCUGCCCUAUCAACUUUCGAUGGUAGUUUAUGUGCCUACCAUGGUUGUAACGGGUAACGGAGAAUAAGGGUUCGACUCCGGAGAGGGAGCCUGAGAAAUGGCUACCACAUCCAAGGAAGGCAGCAGGCGCGCAAAUUACCCACUCUCAGCUCGAGGAGGUAGUGACGAAAAAUAACGAGACGGUUCUCUAUGAGGCCCGUCAUCGGAAUGGGUACAAUUUAAACCCUUUAACGAGGAUCUAUUGGAGGGCAAGUCUGGUGCCAGCAGCCGCGGUAAUUCCAGCUCCAAUAGCAUAUACCAAUUCUGUUGCUGUUAAAAAGCUCGUAGUUGGAUCUUUUCCGAGGAUGGAGUCUGCCCAAUGGGCAUGCACUCUUUUCCGAGGAUACUUCCGCUGGUCUUCUCAUGGUGCUCUUCACCGGGUGCCUUGGGUGGCUAGCACGUUUACUUUGAAAAAAUUAGAGUGCUCAAAACAGGCGUUACUGCCCGAAUAGUGGUGCAUGGAAUAAUGGAAUAGGAUCUCGGUUCUAUUUUGUUGGUUUUAAGAGCGCGAGA